rnacentral:rRNA from 1 species
AGCGAACGCUGGCGGCAGGCCUAACACAUGCAAGUCGAACGAACCUUUCGGGGUUAGUGGCGGACGGGUGAGUAACACGUGGGAACGUGCCUUUAGGUUCGGAAUAACUCAGGGAAACUUGUGCUAAUACCGAAUGUGCCCUUCGGGGGAAAGAUUUAUCGCCUUUAGAUCGGCCCGCGUCUGAUUAGCUAGUUGGUUGAGGUAAUGGCUCACCAAGGCGACGACCAGUAGCUGGUCUGAGAGGAUGAUCAGCCACAUUGGGACUGAGACACGGCCCAAACUCCUACGGGAGGCAGCAGUGGGGAAUCUUGCGCAAUGGGCGAAAGCCUGACGCAGCCAUGCCGCGUGAAUGAUGAAGGUCUUAGGAUUGUAAAAUUCUUUCACCGGGGACGAUAAUGACGGUACCCGGAGAAGAAGCCCCGGCUAACUUCGUG